rnacentral:rRNA from 1 species
UACACACCGCCCGUCACACCAUGGGAGUUGUUUUCAUUUUAAGACGUGACUCUAACCGCAAGGGGGAGAGCGUCUACAGUGGGAGCGAUGACUGGGGUGAAGUCGUAAACAAGGUACC